UACGAAGGGGGCUAGCGUUGCUCGGAAUUACUGGGCGUAAAGCGCACGUAGGCGGCUCUUUAAGUCGGAGGUGAAAUCCUGGAGCUCAACUCCAGAACUGCCUUCGAUACUGGAAGCUCGAGUCCGGGAGAGGUGAGUGGAACUGCGAGUGUAGAGGUGAAAUUCGUAGAUAUUCGCAAGAACACCAGUGGCGAAGGCGGCUCACUGGCCCGGUACUGACGCUGAGGUGCGAAAGCGUGGGGAGCAAACAGG
rnacentral:rRNA from 1 species